CUGGUCUAGCCGGACUGCGCUUGCGCGUGGGAAGCCUGGGGUAGGCCCUGCUGUUUUUCUAACUCUAGUUCAAUCCUACACUGCCGUCUCAACCAAAACAAGGCGCAAGAAAAUCCCCCUCCUGGACGGCAAAUAACCGAGGGUUUCCAUCACCAUUGGAUUUGUUUGGAAGUAAAACUCUCAAUGACAGUCCACAGGAGCCCUUCUGCAACCUUCCCAACCUAAAGAAGCUUUCUUACUGUCUUGAUGAAAAGAACAGGAUGCUGUCAUCUCUAUUCAGAAGAUUUUAGAGCAGAUUUACAGUGGUUCAGGAGUAUUGCUGCUAUUACAGAAAUAAUGACAU